rnacentral:rRNA from 1 species
UACGUAGGGGGCGAGCGUUGUCCGGAUUUAUUGGGCGUAAAGAGCGUGUAGGCGGCCAGGUAGGUCUGCUGUGAAAACUCGAGGCUCAACCUCGAGACGUCGGCGGAAACCAUCUGGCUAGAGUCCGGAAGAGGAGACUGGAAUUCAUGGUGUAGCAGUGAAAUGCGUAGAGAUCAUGAGGAAGACCAGUGGCGAAGGCGGGUCUCUGGACAGUUCCUGACACUGAGACACGAAGGCCAGGGGAGCAAACGGG